rnacentral:ncRNA from 2 species
UUUAAUUCUCAGGGCGGGGCGAAAUUCCCCACCGGCGGUGAUGUUAACUUACCCUAAUGUAAACUUAACUAAGCCCGCGAGCGCUCGAUUCGUCGAGGUCAGCAGAUUUGGUGAUGUAGAUGUAAUGUCUACGAUUCCAGAGCCGACGGUUAUAGUCCGGAUGAGAGAGAAUAGAA